UAGGCUAUCAAGAACAAUGAUUUUGCAAAUAUACAGUCGUGUCAGAGGCCUUCUAAAUGGAAUUGAGACUGAAAACGAGGAAUGUGUCAAAGAACAACCGGAACAAAGACAGAUGCAAACAUACGGAGGGAUUAAGCAUGUUUUGUGAGAUCUCAACCCUCCACCUAUACCUCUAGCCAAUGUUGAAUAAAUAAACACACAGCAAUAUGCACAGUAAAACUCUGUUUGAAAGAAGUUCGAGUCCGAUGUUAGAAUAGAAUUCUGAUUGGGGUGAGCAUGAAUCCAAGCCAGAAAAUGAAGCCAGUUACAUGUACAAACAUAGUUGUAAAGGCAAAGUUGGCCUUAGAUGGAUUUGGCUAUUUUUUUAAAUCCUUUUUGGUUUAUGCUCUGCAAUGUUUUCGGUCCUAAUACAUCCUUGAUUUUCAAAUAUUCGACUUUGAGCGUUCCUGAUGAAGAUAAAUCCAGAAAUGCGCUUCGGGCGCAUCAAAUUUAUAACGAGUUGUUUUCAUUUUUUGUAAAAGAAUGGAUGAAUUUAUAACUUUGUGUUAGUUUUUCAUUGUUUUUGGAAAAAAACUUAUAGCUACGCUAGCAGCAUUGUGCCAUGGUGUGAAGGUAUCAAACUGAACAUGAAGCAAAUUAAUCAAUGCACACAUCGCAAAGUUAUUACUAAAAGAAAGGUCUCAAUACUGGAUGGCAGUGAAUACCUUGGAAAUUUAUUCUUUCUAAAAUAGCAAUUUGGAAUAAUGAUAACCAUAAUUUAGUCAAUAUUUAUAGUACAUAACACCUUAAUUUAAUGGAUAUGUUGUAACUGUUUACCGUCAAAUGAAAGCUAACCAUACUUAAAGUCAAAAUGUAUACUUAAGAUAGUCAUAAUUAUUGUUUUAUUCCAAACAGGUAUUUUCAGCUGGUCAAGCAUAUUAAACAAUACUUCAAAGUAUCAAUUUAUUUAUAUCACCAUUGAUCACUAUCAACAUGAUAAACCGCCGGACCCAGAUAAUAAUCUCUAUGUUUCGCAUUCAGUGGCUUUCGUUGCAGGCGAGACAACAAAUGAAUGAAAUGAAUGUAAAAUUGAAUAACUAUAAGUCACAAGUUUUAUUAGAAUUACGUUAAUUAAGGCUUUCAUUCAAUAAUUGUUCUUUUGAUUAUGCCAUUUGAUAAGGGACUUUCCGUUUUGAAUUUUGCCUGGAGUUCGGUAUUUUUGUUAUUUUCGUUUUACUUGUUGAUUGUAAAAUUUGAAAAAAAAGAAAUUUUGCCAUUCAUUCGUCAAAUUGCUAAUCAAUAUAGCCAAACUAUACGUUAUUUCCACAUUCUUGUUUACCUACUUGACUAAAAAAAUCAUAUUUUUUAUAAAAUACUAAAACAGUGUAUACAUUGUGCGACUCCUAAAAUACCAUGUUAGCAAUAUUUGUCAUGCAUUUCUAGUGUAGAAUGAUAAAUAAACAGAGGAAAAGUU